GCGUAAGACCCCGGUGAUACCUAGUCACUGUAAUCAAAAAAGGUGGUCUUUGAUUUUGAGAUUUGAGAGUCAUUAGACGGAUAGGAUUUGCCGGGAUCCUGAUCCGGCGGUCGGAAUCAUCUUGAUCGAGCUAUGACUUGGACGACUGUGAAUGAUAGGCUAUGUUACGGGAAUGCCAUUUAUGGAACCAGCUAGAGCCCUAAAUUAUCUUUUCGUUUAUCUGGAGUUAAUCUGAUUCAUACCCUCUUUCUUUUUCUGCUACUACGAUCCUUCUCCUCUCUCGAAGACAAUUCCUCCGUUUUUAUUUUUGCGAUAUAUGUUUGCAGGAAAUUUAGUAGGCUAAAUUUAAUCAGGAAUACGAUGCAGAGGAAAAUAACAAGAAGGCAUGUGGCUGGAAGAGGAAAUAGAUUCCGCUUUUGAUAGCUUAUAUCCAGGAAAGACACCUGGAUUUAAAGGAAGUUGCGGAUCAAAUGCACAUGGGAAUAGGUCUGAAAAGUUUCAAGGUGUUGGGAUUGCUUUGCGUUGUUGUAGCUGUUCUUACGACUUCUAAGAUAAGUCCUCUUUUUAAGGCAAUUAUGAAUGAAUUAGUAUUUUUUUAUGUGGAACUGUUUUUGGGAGGAUGGAGUAUUUUAGAUGCCUGUGUAGGAUUAUUUAAGCAUUCUAACUCUUUAGCUGGAGCUCUAGAUUUUUUUGAUGGCUUAGGAUCAAACUGAAAACUUACGGUCAUUUGGUUUCCAUGAGAUAUCCAUGUACAAUUUAAUUUCUUAUGAAUAUAAGAUCAAACAAGCAUACAAAAGAGUUUACAUAUUAGUCAUUUGCAGAAGAAUGCAGAUGGUAGGUUACUCGCAUACUGCUUCACCAAUCGUCUGGCGUAGUUGCGCCUGUGAGUAAUUGUAUGGUUGAUGCAUUGAGGAUAACAAUAUGGAAUGAAGGUUUUGGAGCAUUGGGAAAGAGUUCGAUUGGUGAAGCUUUGCUUUGCUGUGUCAUAAGCUGAAAACAGAUCCCGAUCACUGAUCGAUUUGUAUGCUUUCAAAGCCAUUCCUUGGUGCGGAUUAUGCACACAACAAAAUAUUGAUCCAUAAACUACAACUUUCUAUUGUUCCGGCGGUGUUAAUUUGACAUACAAACACUCGGAAUGAGGUUAUUCCUGCUUCUGGUAGGAGCAUCUCAUGUCAUUUUGAACAGCACCAGGUGAUCAUUACUCAAGACUGAAACAAUUAGGGAAAAACGAAAAUGGUAAGUGAAAUCUCUAUAUUAAUACGGUUGGAAUUGUGUUUUUCUUUCUAAUUAUUCCAGAUUUACCUCUGUAAAUGCCGCUUCUUAACAAAACCUUAUUCUCUUAGGUGAAUUUGUGAGCGCCAUAGUAAUUUCAAUGAUUGGUAGAAAUUAAAAAAUAAAUGCACCAAAUUUUCAGCAGUCACAUAGUCUUUUUCCAUCUCAAGAAAAUGAAUGAAGUAUGUCAACAAUAGAAUUAACUUCAUACUGUCGACCCGUGUCUGGAAAUCCUAGGUUACUAAUGGGAGAAAAGAAACUCGGACACAAGGGACUUAAAUUACGAAAUGUCGUUAAGUUUUGCCUACCCGCAUCUUGAAAGGCUAGGUUACUCACAUAUGUUAUAAUUAAUGUGUGUGAGUUAAGUGAGUAUCUCGAACACAGAUGCCUAGAUAAAGCACACUUUGGUAUGGUAAUCUUAUAUUCAUAUAAAUGGAUAGUGUGGUCUUGAUGCUUGCUAAUAAUCAUUAGUUGCUGCAUCAGGGAUUUCAGUUUGGGAUCCAUCUUUUGAUGUAACCACCAGUGGCUACAUCAAAAGAGAAGGCACUCUUCAAAUUCUAAUAACCGAUAGUUGGAUUAUGCUUGCUAAUCCGACUAUCGUAGAAAAGUUAACAGUUUCAGAUGCAGAUUUUCAUUGUCACGGAGCCACACCUUCGCAUCAUUGUUAUGUACAGUUGCAUUCAUUUCCCUGUGAAUGAAUUUGUUGUUUAAUCCCCUGGGAAAAGUGUCUCAAUGCGUAUGUAAUUCCCGAGUUUAUAUUCUAUAAAGCCAGCGUUUAAUAUUAUUAAUAAGUUGAAUUGGGGAAGAAGCGGAAGUAAAUUUUGCGAGGACGACCAUUGGAUAUCAGUAGGCUGUCUUGGUUGAUAUAUGCCUCUCAACUACUGAACUCCAACAUCAGAAUGACAUGCUGACAAAAGAACUUACAAAGGACACACUUGGACAACUUGAAUUAGAUUUUUUUUUGAAGCACAACUUGAAUUAGAUGAUUUCACCUUUGUCGAAUGUUCUUCACCCUAGAUCUUAAAUAAGGGUUCCCUAACAUAGGGAUCAGGGAGCAUCAAGCAUGUCUUGAGAAUACUCGAGCACCAUGUAAGAGAUGCCUUGGCCGAAGGUUGGAAUAAUCUGUGAAACUCUAUGAAAUGGUGUUGAUAAUUAAGCCCAUAAUGUCCGCCGGGAUGUACAAUAUUAGGUUUCUGGAGGGUUUAGCCAUUUUGUUUGUUGAUAUUAUAUUUUUAAACACUGAGUUUUGUAUGAAUGUUUCACUUGGAAAGCAGAUGUACAUUGCCUAUGCAUACUCUUCUAUCAACAAUGGAAAAAUGCAUCUGGCUUUGAAUAAAAUGAAGACUAUCAACUUAUAGUUGAGAAUUCCAUCUUCUAUACCGAGCGCAGACAAAAUUUGAGAUUUUUUGUCGAUGAACCUGCUUUUACCGAUCUUUGCACAGAAAAAACUCUCGGCAAUGUCUGUAAUAUUCAAGGAUUUGAGAUAACUGCUACGAUUGAUUAGAAACUAACGAGUUUGUCCUACACAUGCCCUCCGUAAAAGUUAGUGGUGCUCAAACUCUCGAAGAUGUCU